rnacentral:rRNA from 2 species
CAAUGGACGCAAGUCUGAACCAGCCAUGCCGCGUGAAGGAUGAAGGUCCUCUGGAUUGUAAACUUCUUUUAUCUGGGAAGAAAUGCAUUUUUUCUAAAGAGUUUGACGGUACCAGAUGAAUAAGCACCGGCUAACUCCGUGCCAGCAGCCGCGGUAAUACGGAGGGUGCAAGCGUUAUCCGGAUUCACUGGGUUUAAAGGGUGCGUAGGUGGGCAGUUAAGUCAGUGGUGAAAUCUCCGNGCUUAACCCGGAAACUGCCAUUGAUACUAUCUGUCUUGAAUGUCGUGGAGGUAAGCGGAAUAUGUCAUGUAGCGGUGAAAUGCUUAGAUAUGACAUAGAACACCAAUUGCGAAGGCAGCUUGCUACCCGAAUAUUGACAGUGAGGCACGAAAGCGUGGGGAUCAAACAGGGAUUACAUACCCUGGUAGUCCACGCCCUAAACGAUGUAUACUCNACAUACGCGAUACACAGUGUGUGUCUGANCGAAAGCAUUAAGUAUCCCGCCUGGGAAGUACGACCGCA